UGGGGAAUCUUCCGCAAUGGGCGCAAGCCUGACGGAGCAAUGCCGCGUGAGUGAAGAAGGCCUUCGGGUUGUAAAACUCUGUCCUCAUCCAAGAGAAGGAAAGGUAGUAACUGCCCUUUCCAGGACGGUAGAUGAGGAGGAAGCCCCGGCUAACUAUGUGCCAGCAGCCGCGGUAAAACAUAGGGGGCAAGCGUUGUCCGGAAUCACUGGGCGUAAAGGGCGCGCAGGCGGUCUGUUAAGUCAGAUGUGAAAGGUUAGGGCUCAAACCUGAACGUGCAUCUGAGACUGGCAGGCUUGAGUAUGGAAGAGGUAAGUGGAAUUCCUAGUGUAGCGGUGAAAUGCGUAGAUAUUAGGAGGAACACCAGUGGCGAAGGCGACUUACUGGGCCAUAACUGACGCUGAGGCGCGAAAGCGUGGGGAGCAAACAGG
rnacentral:rRNA from 1 species